UACGUAGGGCGGCAAGCGUUAUCCGGAAUUAUUGGGCGUAAAGAGCUCGUAGGCGGUUUGUCGCGUCUGCCGUGAAAGUCCGGGGCUUAACUCCGGAUCUGCGGUGGGUACGGGCAGACUAGAGUGCAGUAGGGGAGACUGGAAUUCCUGGUGUAGCGGUGAAAUGCGCAGAUAUCAGGAGGAACACCGAUGGCGAAGGCAGGUCUCUGGGCUGUAACUGACGCUGAGGAGCGAAAGCAUGGGGAGCGAACAGG
rnacentral:rRNA from 1 species